AUAGGUUUUCUAUGAAAAAUAAAUAAGGUUGGCGACAAUGCCAAACGAAAUUCGCCAUUCAACAAUUUGCGCGCCAUUUCUCAGUAAAGGUUAUCAUUUUUUAGUUUUGUUUUAUAAAAUAGUAUUAAUAAACGGUAAAUAAAAUUAGUGCUACACUUAUUGGAGUAAAUUGUCGAGCAGAUGUAAUGAAUGAUCUAAAAAAUCUAAUGAAACACUCAUGGGCCCUAAAUCAUUAGGUUUGAAUAGUUUUGCCAUAGGGUCUGUUGGUAUUAAUUGGGUUGGAUGCAGCAGCUCUUUAUACUGGUUUUCUUUGAAGGAGUAGUACAAUUUGUUCUUUGGUUUCAACUGUUAAACUGAUAAACCAUCGACAAGAGUAAUAAAAUCUGGAAUGAUGACGAUAUUUAAAAUGGAAGAUCUAAGACUCAAUUUUAAUGAAGAGUGGACAGUCUGUAAAGAAGUAAGGAAACAACACAUAAUAUAUAUAACAUAACAUAAAAGAAUGAAAGAAGAAAGAAGAAAUUCAAAACAAUCGUAUCUCGAUAUGGAUAUAAAUCAUUAACAGAACUAAGGAAGGUACUUCGAAAUUAUAUUCAAUAAAGGCGUCCAGAUUUGCCAAUUCAAAUGUGAGAUCUGUUGAAGUAGUUACAACAAAACAGAUGCUUUAUUUUAAUUCUUUUGGACAUUUCUAAACCAUAUGUAGACCGAAUAUCUUGUACCCAAAGAUAAAUUUUCCUCUCACUUUCUUACCAACAUCUUUGGGCAUUGUUUAUUUAUAUGUAUAGAAGUUUCUAUACAUAUUCUAUUCUAUAUAAAAUUUUAGGUGUUUUUUUGGUAAAAUCGAUUGAAUUGAUCAAAAGACAAGGAGAUAAAAUACUAAGAAGACAUCACAUCACAGCCUUCUACACUCAGACAACUGAAAUUGCGAAUUUUGCUUAUUAAAUUUGUGUACAUCGAAUUACAAUUGAUAAUUGUCUUAUUAAGGUUUAUAACCUACUGCAUUUAAAAAAUUA